AUUGAACGCUGGCGGCAUGCUUUACACAUGCAAGUCGAACGGUAACAGGCCUUCGGGCGCUGACGAGUGGCGAACGGGUGAGUAAUGCAUCGGAACGUGCCCAGUCGUGGGGGAUAACGCAGCGAAAGCUGCGCUAAUACCGCAUACGAUCUCUGGAUGAAAGCGGGGGACCGAAAGGCCUCGCGCGAUUGGAGCGGCCAAUGUCAGAUUAGGUAGUUGGUGGGGUAAAGGCCCACCAAGCCAACGAUCUGUAGCUGGUCUGAGAGGACGACCAGCCACACUGGGACUGAGACACGGCCCAGACUCCUACGGGAGGCAGCAGUGGGGAAUUUUGGACAAUGGGCGCAAGCCUGAUCCAGCAAUGCCGUGUGCAGGAAGAAGGCCUUCGGGUUGUAAACUGCUUUUGUACGGAACGAAACGGUUCGGGUUAAUACCCUGGGCUAAUGACGGUACCGUAAGAAUGAGCACCGGCUAACUACGUGCCAGCCGCCGCUGUAAUAC
rnacentral:rRNA from 1 species